AGUGAACGCUGGCGGCAGGCCUAACACAUGCAAGUCGAGCGGCAGCGCGUCCGACCACCCUCGGGUGGUCGGAUGGCGGCGAGCGGCGGACGGGUGAGGAAUGCAUCGGAAUCUGCCUCGUUGUGGGGGAUAACGUAGGGAAACUUACGCUAAUACCGCAUACGACCUACGGGUGAAAGUGGGGGACCUUCGGGCCUCACGCGAUGAGAUGAGCCGAUGCCGGAUUAGCUAGUUGGCGGGGUAAAGGCCCACCAAGGCGACGAUCCGUAGCUGGUCUGAGAGGAUGAUCAGCCACACUGGAACUGAGACACGGUCCAGACUCCUACGGGAGGCAGCAGUGGGGAAUAUUGGACAAUGGGGGCAACCCUGAUCCAGCCAUGCCGCGUGUGUGAAGAAGGCCCUCGGGUUGUAAAGCUCUUUUGUCCGGAAGAAAGCAUUCGGUAAUACCCGGGUGUUCUGACGGUACCGGAAGAAUAAGCACCGGCUAACUUCGUGCCAGCAGC
rnacentral:rRNA from 1 species